CAAUUUCUUUCUGUCUUUUUUUAAGAAUUUAAAUUAAAAAGAAAGAAGAGGGAGAUAAAAAAAAAAAAAGGUAUGAAAGAUUCCCUAUUACAGUGGGCGUCUGCAGGAGUGACAGCGAGUUAAAGAGAGGACAUUCUUUUUCCGGUGUCUGAGACCAAGUAGAACACAACGGAAACCGAACAAAACCGAACAUAAAAAAAAUAAUGGUUGUUAAUACACGGGCUCACUGUACUCCUCCACUGAGUUCACCUCACCUACUCGCUCCUCCCUUGCUUUCUUUAAACGGAGGCAGCCCAUUUUCUUAUACGAAGCUCCGAACCCAAGAAUCGUUUUAGUUCGCUGAGAAAAGCUUAAUUCGGAAGGGUGAGGAUCCAUGAGAUCCGUUGAGGAGUCCGAAUCUAUGACGGGUAACUCAUCAGCUCCAUCGGCUAUUGAUUUCCCUACAUUGUGCCAUCGAUUGAAGAUCACAAAACUGAAGGGAUGGAUCAACCAUUGGAUAAAGGGUCCUGAAUCAAUUGCUGACCAUAUGUACAGUGUGUCAUUGAUGGCUCUGAUUGCUGAUGAUUGUUUUAGUUCGCUGUGAAAAGCUGAACUCAGAAAGGUUAAACAGUUUAUAUCAUGAGAAGACUUGUGUUUUUCUUUCUUUGUGUGCACUUUCAAGAAAGUCAAUGUGUGUAUUUACACUCUUGAAUCAUGGGGCAGAAUAGACCAAUUUAUAAAUGAUUUAACUACAUAAAUGUUAUGAUUAAUUGGAAACAAAUGGUUUGAUGCCAUGCUAAGAUACAAGGGAAGAUUAUUGGGCUUUAAUCAAACAGGAAAGUCUUGGGUUAUCAAUCAGAAGAGAGAAACCAGAGAUUCAAUUUGCUAUUAGACUAAAUCAUUUUUUUUGUCUUUUGAGGAGAAUAGAGGCAGGAUGGUGUUGGAUAUCUGAUUAACUCUACUUGUUGAUACUGUAUCUAGCACCCAUAUAAUUUACAGGUCCUUAAAAAAGUCACCUAAUGUAUUCCUGUAGUUUUCAUUCUUAAAACAAGCCAUUGUUGCAAAUUUACCACUUAAAUUAGCUUUGAGCGACACUUGGUUGCCUCGUAUUUUGGACAGAGUAGACUGGUAGAAAAAGAUGGUAUUAUGUUGGAUUCUUUUAAUUGAUCAAUAUGGUUGAUAAAUGAUAUGUUAUUUCCAUUGAUACAGGUUCAUUUAUGCUCUAAUGGAAAUUUACAUGAUUCUUUGAGAAUGUAUAGGGCAUGGAUUUGGUGGUGGUAUGGGCCUAUGUGGGGGCGCGGGGUUAUGGUAUUUUGCGUAAGCAAAAUCAUAUCUUGAAUCCAUAAUGUUUUUUUUUUUUUUUUUGAAAAUAGCUCCUUGCUGCAUAAAUGGCUCGAUGUUUUACUUGUACUGCUUCAGCCUUGGCAUGUCAUGAAUAGAUCACCACCUCAGGAAAAAAAUGGACUAAAUUAUUGGAGAAUAGAUCUCUCACUUAAAACUGAAUUUUGGCUAAAAAUUAGGAGAGCAGAUAUCAAUGUGUUUCAUGAGCACAUUUGACACUGUUAAUUUGUCACUAUUUGACUCUUGUCAGGCCAUAAAAGUAAAACGUACAAGUUGAUGCUCCAAAGCCAUAAUAGUCCACAGAGCAUACCCAAGCUUACACCUAAUGAGUAAGAGAACAAUGUGUGUCUGCAAAUAUUUGUUUUGCAGUCAGAAAUCAGAAUCGUGUAUUGUUGAUGAUUGUAGAAUGGGAGAAGAGCCCUACAACAACAACAGCAUUGAUUGGGGAUUCUAUUCCAUGUUUGUAAUAGUUCUCUUUUUAUAUAUCUAAUUGAGCUUAUUGUGUUUUACUUUUGCAAAAUAUGCACAUAUAUUUUGUUGGAGUUUUGAAUUUUGAGUUGGGAUUUGGACUUUGAUAGCUAUUGUUGGAGAUAUAACAAUAUCAAAUGGUGUGCCUAAACAAGAAAAGAGUAGGCUGGAGCAAGCGGCUUUAAAUGAAAUGUGUUGAGUUCUUGGUGGACUGAGGGUUACUCAAAUACUGACUCUUGCUAUCUUGACUUUUAGCAGUUUCAGCUUUGAGUUUUCUGGAACUAAAUAUUUUCAUUUUUUCAGCUGAAGAGAUCAAAGAGUUAUGGGCAGAGUAUGAAAACAAUGCUUCCUUGGAGGCCAACCUUGUCGAAGACUUUGACAAAGUUUGAAUUUUUGAAUGAUGCUAUAAAGGAACAGGUCUAUGGUUCCAAAUGCUUCUUCAAUUGAUUUUCUUGCUAUUGCAAUGUGCGGUGAAAGUCAUUGAAACACAGGACAGUAUUCAAAUCAAUUGUGUUUGCCAGGUGUGUCAUAUAUCCCCAUCUACUUUUGAAUUAUUGAUGACCAGUCUUUUGGAAAAGCUGCAGGAAGCUGUUUCUGAUGGCCGUUAUGUGUUAAGGAUUAAGGGAAUUAUUAAAAAUAAAAUAAAAACGUUAAAGUAGUUUGGUUACUGCCCAGGGACUUCUUCCAUCCACUGACAUUGUGAUCCUCCUCAAUUUGUGUUUAAUAUGUUCACCGGUUGCUGUUGAAAUGUUUGGUGACUCCCUUUCUCUCGCUAGAUGUUCACUCGGAAAACUUCCCAGUGUUAAUGCUAUAAAAAGCUUCUACUGGAAUCAACUUCAAUGUGUUAAACCAAUGAAGUUUUACGCUCUCCUGAAGCAAAUCCAUAAACCACAUUUUCUUAUAGCACUUGAUUUGCAUUUAUAUUUGUAUAUCCCUUCCCAUGUUCAAUUCUUUGUUAGCAAUCUAAAGUUCCGAGUCUCAUGUUUAGGUUGAGAUGAUUUUGCGAGCACUGGAAUAUGAAAUGGGUAGGUUAUCUGAUGAAAUUAAAUGUUCCGCUUCCAAGGAAUUCUCAUUCGAUGUCAUGUUUUCACAGAACAAGGGAAGGUGUUGGAUGAGUUUUUCUUUUCAGCAGCAGGAAAAUUUCGAACUGCGAUAGGAAAGAGCUGGGCAGCUGAGAUUUCUUCAAGAAGAAACUCUAUUCUGGCCAGGAAGCAAAACUGAUCUCCUCGUCCAUCCACUCAUUUUUUAUCCUUCCCUUUCAGGUUGAGACAUUCCCUUGGCUACUGCUGUCUGUCUAACUGAUACGCUCUCGUUGCAGGACCUGGUUUGGUCGUUGAGUAUGGAAGGAUAACUGAUUAGAUUGAAUCCAGAGGUAGCCGAAGAGGUUCAUUCCCGAGUCGUCACAGGGUUUGUCAUAGGCAACUAACGACCAAAGAGUUCUAAUUCCAGAAUUUAGUGUAACGACUGUUGUAUCCAGUAAUGCUUAAAUUUCAAAGGAAAGUGUAAUAAUAUUUUUGUUUUCUUGUGAAAAGUUCAGUAAGGGGUUGCAAUUUUCA